rnacentral:rRNA from 1 species
CUACGGGGGGCUCCAGUGGGGAAUAUUGCACAAUGGGCGCAAGCCUGAUGCAGCCAUGCCGCGUGUAUGAAGAAGGCCUUCGGGUUGUAAAGUACUUUCAGCGGGGAGGAAGGGAGUAAAGUUAAUACCUUUGCUCAUUGACGUUACCCGCAGAAGAAGCACCGGCUAACUCCGUGCCAGCAGCCGCGGUAAUACGGAGGGUGCAAGCGUUAAUCGGAAUUACUGGGCGUAAAGCGCACGCAGGCGGUUUGUUAAGUCAGAUGUGAAAUCCCCGGGCUCAACCUGGGAACGGCAUCUGAUACUGGCAAGCUUGAGUCCCGUAGAGGGGGGUAGAAUUCCAGGUGUAGCGGUGAAAUGCGUAGAGAUCUGGAGGAAUACCGGUGGCGAAGGCGGCCCCCUGGACGAAGACUGACGCUCAGGUGCGAAAGCGUGGGGAGCAAACAGGAUUAGAUACCCCUGUAGUC